AGCGAACGCUGGCGGCAGGCUUAACACAUGCAAGUCGAACGCCCCGCAAGGGGAGUGGCAGACGGGUGAGUAACACGUGGGAACGUACCCUUUGGUUCGGAAUAACUUGGGGAAACUCAAGCUAAUACCGGAUAAGCCCUUCUGGGGAAAGGUUUACUGCCGAAGGAUCGGCCCGCGUCUGAUUAGCUAGUUGGUGAGGUAAUGGCUCACCAAGGCGACGAUCAGUAGCUGGUCUGAGAGGAUGAUCAGCCACACUGGGACUGGGACACGGCCCAGACUCCUACGGGAGGCAGGAGUGGGGAAUAUUGGACAAUGGGGGCAACCCUGAUCCAGCCAUGCCGCGUGAGUGAUGAAGGCCUUAGGGUUGUAAAGCUCUUUUACCCGGGACGAUAAUGACUGUACCGGGAGAAUAAGCCCCGGCUAACUUCGUGCCAGCCGCCGCCGUAA
rnacentral:rRNA from 1 species